CUGGCGGCAGGCCUAACACAUGCAAGUCGAGCGCUACCUUCGGGUGGAGCGGCGGACGGGUUAGUAACGCGUGGGAACGUACCCAGAUCUAAGGAAUAGCCACUGGAAACGGUGAGUAAUACCUUAUACGCCCUUCGGGGGAAAGAUUUAUCGGAUUUGGAUCGGCCCGCGUUAGAUUAGAUAGUUGGUGGGGUAAUGGCCUACCAAGUCUACGAUCUAUAGCUGGUUUUAGAGGAUGAUCAGCAACACUGGGACUGAGACACGGCCCAGACUCCUACGGGAGGCAGCAGUGGGGAAUCUUGGACAAUGGGCGCAAGCCUGAUCCAGCCAUGCCGCGUGAGUGAUGAAGGCCUUAGGGUCGUAAAGCUCUUUCGCCAGAGAUGAUAAUGACAGUAUCUGGUAAAGAAACCCCGGCUAACUCCGUGCCAGCAGCCGCGGUAAUACGGAGGGGGUUAGCGUUGUUCGGAAUUACUGGGCGUAAAGCGUACGUAGGCGGAUUAGUCAGUCAGAGGUGAAAUCCCAGGGCUCAACCCUGGAACUGCCUUUGAUACUGCUAGUCUUGAGUUCGAGAGAGGUGAGUGGAAUUCCAAGUGUAGAGGUGAAAUUCGUAGAUAUUUGGAGGAACACCAGUGGCGAAGGCGGCUCACUGGCUCGAUACUGACGCUGAGGUACGAAAGUGUGGGGAGCAAACAGGAUUAGAUACCCUGGUAGUCCACACCGUAAACGAUGAAUGCCAGUCGUCGGGCAGUAUACUGUUCGGUGACACACCUAACGGAUUAAGCAUC
rnacentral:rRNA from 1 species